UAGGGAAUCUUCGGCAAUGGGGGGAACCCUGACCGAGCAACGCCGCGUGAGUGAAGAAGGUUUUCGGAUCGUAAAGCUCUGUUGUUAAGGAAGAACGAGUGUGAGAAUGGAAAGUUCAUACUGUGACGGUACUUAACCAGAAAGGGACGGCUAACUACGUGCCAGCAGCCGCGGUAAUACGUAGGUCCCGAGCGUUGUCCGGAUUUAUUGGGCGUAAAGCGAGCGCAGGCGGUUAGAUAAGUCUGAAGUUAAAGGCAGUGGCUCAACCAUUGUAGGCUUUGGAAACUGUUUAACUUGAGUGCAGAAGGGGAGAGUGGAAUUCCAUGUGUAGCGGUGAAAUGCGUAGAUAUAUGGAGGAACACCGGUGGCCAAAGCGGCUCUCUGGUCUGUAACUGACGCUGAGGCUCGAAAGCGUGGGGAGCGAACAGG
rnacentral:rRNA from 1 species